rnacentral:rRNA from 1 species
UACGUAGGGGGCUAGCGUUGUCCGGAUUUAUUGGGCGUAAAGAGCGUGUAGGCGGUUAGGUAGGUCCGUUGUGAAAACUCGAGGCCCAACCUCGAGAUGUCGGCUGAAACCAAUCUGGCUAGAGUCCGGAAGAGGCGAGUGGAAUUCCUGGUGUAGCGGUGAAAUGCGCAGAUAUCAGGAGGAACACCGGUGGCGAAGGCGGCCAUCUGGACGGAUACUGACGCUGAGACGCGAAAGCGUGGGUAGCAAACAGG